rnacentral:rRNA from 1 species
AACGGAGGGGGCAAGCGUUAUUCAUCCUUAUUGGGCGUAAAGGGUACGUAGGUAAUGAAAAAUAAUUGUUCUAAAAUCUCAGGUUUAUGUCUUGAAUUUGCGACAAUUAUGGAUUAAUUCGGAGAUAGCUAAAGGUUGGCAGAAUUACUAAUGUAGGGGUAAAAUGCAACGAUAUUAGUACGAAUACCAAAGGCGCAGGCAGCUUUCUUUAGAAUCUGACACUGAGGUACUAAAGCAUGGGGAUCAAACAGG